rnacentral:tRNA from 1 species
GCCCGAGUGGCGGAAUGGCAGACGCAGUGGACUCAAAAUCCACCGCCGGCAACGGCGUGCGAGUUCGACUCUCGCCUCGGGCA